rnacentral:tRNA from 1 species
ACCCCUGUAGCUCAAUUGGAUAGAGCACUGGACUUCGGAUCCAGGUGUUGGGGGUUCAAAUCCUCCCGGGGGUACAA